GAGGAACCAAUCGUUGCUUUUUUAAUAUCUUUCAAGGAACGGCUGUCGUAACAGGACAAAAUGUUGGCGUCACCAUCGGAGUGAGACUGAUCCAAACCGGAGGACGUCUGAGUCUCGAAAUACCGUCUGGAGAUGACUACUGUAAGACCCGAGCUGACAGGAUCCGUGUGGAUAACCUGGGGUUUGUGGUGAACACUGCUCUCACAGCAGCGUUAAGGUUUGCAUUCACCUCCCAGGUUUGUUCCUCCUUCAGUCUUUAACAGAACCCAAC